ACAUUUUACACGCCUACUGUAAAUUGUACCGCACAAAUACUGACAGGAACAUUUUUACAAGCCUACUGUGAAUUGUACCGCGCUGUUUUGCUGAGAACAUAUUACACAUCAUCACAAACUUUGUGAAUCAUGUGUCUGACUAUGAAGACGGUGGCUGACGAGAAGAAGAGAGGGAGAGAGAAGGGGAGGAAGAAGGAGGGACAGAGAGUGGCAGGUGGUUGGCGUGCCAAGUUAAUGAACUGCUUUCUAUGUGGAGCAGCCAACCAAGAUCAGGAUGAACAAAUAGAGAAAGAACAAGUAAAGACUGGGCAGAAACCAGAAGAGAAGCAGAGCCAGACAGAGAGAGGACAAAGACAAGGGAUUGCCCCUCCACGGGCAGCGAUGAUGGCUGAGAGAAAACGGGAGCUGGAGAAAAUGCAUGAGGACAUGAAGAAAUGGGAGAUGUACGGGGUGCGCAAGAAUGUCACUCGGAGAAGCAGGAAGGUGACGGAACAGGAGAUAUUAAAAAUGGACGAGGACAUGAGGAGAUGGGAGGUGCACUGGCAGCAGACUAAGAGAAGCAGGAAGGUGGCGGAGGCCAACCAGGAGUGGAGCCAAAUGGCUCUAAAGUCAGAGGACGCCGGGAAGAAAAUUACGUUCCGUGAAGAUCUCUGUGAGGUGCGAUUCAUUGAUGAGGAGGCAAAGCCGAGCCAGGGAGAUCAGAAAGUACUGGGGGAGGGAGGACAGCAAGAACAGGACAUUGAGAAGCAUGUUGAGAGGAAGUUGACAAAGCAGGAGGAGUAUGAAAUGUACUUCCAGCAGGUGUUGAAAAUGCUCAAGGAUGAAAAAGAAAUGAAGAAGAAAGAAGCCAUAACAGAGAAAUGUAUACAAAAGGAGGAGCAGUUGCAAGGGCGAGGGGAAGGGCAGAUUGCUCUCAAGAGGCAGGAGGCUGCUGUUAUCUGUCCUGAUAUCGGUAGUGCUCUGCUGUUCGUCAUGAUUUGCAUGACCUUCUGUGCGUUUGACUUUUUCCGAUAAAUCAACCCUCUGAAGUAAUGAGG
ensembl:lncRNA